CUGGCAGUGACGGAAACUGAAGUCUUCUUUUUUUUUUUUGUAUCCAUAGGCUGGGUACAGUUCUGGGCAGCUCCAGUGUGAGCUUCUCCAUGCUGCCUCAUCAAUGGCUUGGAGGGACCUCCCUCUCAGAGUGGGAGGUUGUUCGGUCUCCAUACUAGCUCACCCCUUGUCCUUU
rnacentral:sRNA from 1 species